GGGGUUGUGGUCUAGAGGACUGGAGGACUCCUCUAAUCCGGAGAACUUGGUAUGAGCCCUUCGGGAGUUCCCGACGGGUACAGUUCCGCUUUAAACCCUUAAAGCGGCAGGAGUCCUGCCUGGGGCGCAGGCGAUCCCGAGUUCAAAUCUCGGCAACCCCACCA
rnacentral:tRNA from 1 species